rnacentral:rRNA from 1 species
UACGUAGGGUGCAAGCGUUAAUCGGAAUUACUGGGCGUAAAGCGCACGUAGGUGGUUUGGCAAGUUGGAUGUGAAAGCCCCGGGCUUAACCUGGGAACUGCAUUCAAUACUACCAAGCUAGAGUAGAGUAGAGGGAAGUGGAAUUUCCGGUGUAGCGGUGAAAUGCGUAGAUAUCGGAAGGAACAUCAGUGGCGAAGGCGGCUUCCUGGACUCAUACUGACACUGAGGUGCGAAAGCGUGGGGAGCAAACAGG